rnacentral:misc_RNA from 1 species
GAUGAAGAACGCAGCAAAAUGCGAUAAGUAAUGUGAAUUGCAGAAUUCAGUGAAUCAUCGAAUCUUUGAACGCCCAUUGCGCCCGCCAGUAUUCUGGCGGGCAUGCCUGUUCGAGCGUCAUUUCAACCCUCAAGCACAGCUUGGUGUUGGGACUCGCGUUAAUUCGCGUUCCCCAAAUUGAUUGGCGGUCACGUCGAGCUUCCAUAGCGUAGUAGUAAAACCCUCGUUACUGGUAAUCGUCGCGGCCACGCCGUUAAACCCCAACUUCUGAAUGUUGACCUCGGAUCAGGUAGGAAUACCCGCUGAACUUAAGCAUAUCAAUAAGCGGAGGA